CACGUAGGGCGCGAGCGUUGUCCGGAAUUAUUGGGCCUAAAGCAUCCGUAGCCGGUUCUACAAGUCUUCCGUUAAAUCCAACUGCUUAACAGGUGGGCUGCGGAAGAUACUAUAGAGCUAGGAGGCGGGAGAGGCAAGCGGUACUCGAUGGGUAGGGGUAAAAUCCGUUGAUCCAUUGAAGACCACCAGUGGCGAAGGCGGCUUGCCAGAACGCGCUCGACGGUGAGGGAUGAAAGCUGGGGGAGCAAACCGG
rnacentral:rRNA from 1 species